AUUGAACGCUGGCGGAAGGCUUAACCCAUGCAAGUCGAGCGAGCGGCGGACGGGUAAGAAGUGUCUGGGAAACUGCAUGAUGGAUGGGGAUAACUACUGGAAACGGUAGCUAAUACCGCAUACCAUCAGAGGUGCCCAGAUGGGAUUAGCUAGUGGGUUGGGUAAGGGCUCACCUAGGCGACGAUCCCUAGCGGGUCUGAGAGGAUGAACAGCCACACUGGAACGGAGACACGGUCCAGCCUCCUACGGGAGGCAGCAGUGGGGAAUAUUGCACAAUGGGCGCAAGCCUGAUGCAGCCAUGCCGCGUGUGUGAAGAAGGCCUUCGGGUUGUAAAGCACUUUCAGCGAGGAGGCGUUACUCGCAGAAGAAGCACCGGCUAACUCCGUGCCAGCCGCCGCGGUAAUAC
rnacentral:rRNA from 1 species